AGUGAACGCUGGCGGUAGGCCUAACACAUGCAAGUCGGACGGCAGCACAGUAAGAGCUUGCUCUUACGGGUGGCGAGUGGCGGACGGGUGAGGAAUACAUCGGAAUCUACUUUUUCGUGGGGGAUAACGUAGGGAAACUUACGCUAAUACCGCAUACGACCUACGGGUGAAAGCAGGGGAUCUUCGGACCUUGCGCGAUUGAAUGAGCCGAUGUCGGAUUAGCUAGUUGGCGGGGUAAAGGCCCACCAAGGCGACGAUCCGUAGCUGGUCUGAGAGGAUGAUCAGCCACACUGGAACUGAGACACGGUCCAGACUCCUACGGGAGGCAGCAGUGGGGAAUAUUGGACAAUGGGCGCAAGCCUGAUCCAGCCAUACCGCGUGGGUGAAGAAGGCCUUCGGGUUGUAAAGCCCUUUUGUUGGGAAAGAAAAGCAGCAGGUUAAUACCCCGCUGUUCUGACGGUACCCAAAGAAUAAGCACCGGCUAACUUCGU
rnacentral:rRNA from 1 species